ACUUUUUCGAAUCCGUGCUGAGGUUUCGUCAGACACCAACCCAUUAGUGCUGAUUAGACUUCCGAGAUAAGUGAAGUU
rnacentral:pre_miRNA from 1 species